GGGGUAUAGUUCUUCGGAACUAGAGACCGGCGCACGGGUGCGUAACGCGUAUGCAAUCUACCUUUUACAGAGGGAUAGCCCAGAGAAAUUUGGAUUAAUACCUCAUAGCAUAGCAAUCUCGCAUGAGAUCACUAUUAAAGUCACAACGGUAAAAGAUGAGCAUGCGUCCCAUUAGCUAGUUGGUAAGGUAACGGCUUACCAAGGCUACGAUGGGUAGGGGUCCUGAGAGGGAGAUCCCCCACACUGGUACUGAGACACGGACCAGACUCCUACGGGAGGCAGCAGUGAGGAAUAUUGGACAAUGGGCGCAAGCCUGAUCCAGCCAUGCCGCGUGCAGGAUGACGGUCCUAUGGAUUGUAAACUGCUUUUAUACGAGAAGAAACACUCCAACGUGUUGGAGCUUGACGGUAUCGUAAGAAUAAGGAUCGGCUAACUCCGUGCCAGCAGCCGCGGUAAUACGGAGGAUCCAAGCGUUAUCCGGAAUCAUUGGGUUUAAAGGGUCCGUAGGCGGUUUAGUAAGUCAGUGGUGAAAGCCCAUCGCUCAACGGUGGAACGGCCAUUGAUACU
rnacentral:rRNA from 1 species